rnacentral:rRNA from 1 species
UACGUAGGGGGCAAGCGUUGUCCGGAAUCAUUGGGCGUAAAGCGCGCGUAGGCGGCCCGGUAAGUCCGCUCUGAAAGUCCAAGGCUCAACCUUGGAAUGCGGGUGGAUACUGCCGGGCUAGAGUCCGGAAGAGGCGAGUGGAAUUCCUGGUGUAGCGGUGGAAUGCGUAGAGAUCGGGAGGAACAUCUGUGGCGAAGGCGACUGCCUGGACCAGCACUGACACUGAGGCACGAAAGCGUGGGGAGCAAACAGG